rnacentral:rRNA from 1 species
GGGUCGGAACUUCGGUUCCGGCUUACGUGGCGCACGGGUGAGUAACACGUGGGAAUCUGCCCAUCUAUGGGGAAUAACUGCGGGAAACUGCAGCUAAUACCGCAUACGCCCUUCGGGGGAAAGGCUUCGGCCGUAGAUGGAUGAGCCCGCGUCCGAUUAGCUAGUUGGUGGGGUAAUGGCCUACCAAGGCGACGAUCGGUAGCUGGUCUGAGAGGAUGAUCAGCCACACUGGGACUGAGACACGGCCCAGACUCCUACGGGGGGCAGCAGUGGGGAAUAUUGGACAAUGGGCGAAAGCCUGAUCCAGCAAUGCCGCGUGAGUGAUGAAGGUCUUCGGAUUGUAAAGCUCUUUCGACGGGGAAGAUAAUGACGGUACCCGUAGAAGAAGCCCCGGCUAACUUCGUGCCAGCAGCCGCGGUAAUACGAAGGGGGCUAGCGUUGUUCGGAUUUACUGGGCGUAAAGCGUGCGUAGGCGGCUUAUCAAGUCAGAAGUGAAAGCCCGGGGCUCAACUCCGGAAUGGCUUUUGAGACUGGUAGGCUGGAGUUCGGGAGAGGGUAGUGGAAUUCCCAGUGUAGAGGUGAAAUUCGUAGAUAUUGGGAAGAACACCGGUGGC